UCUAUGGAUGUUAACAAGGAAUCAUUUUUCUCACAGCUCUCCUGGCUGAUGAGCGUGUCCGCAUAGUUGGGCUGCGGGAAGAUCAGAUGACUCUUCCUUGAGUCUGCGGUGAGGGAGACCUCAUGCGAAUAGGUCUGCAGGAAAGCCUGUACUCCUUCAACACCAACGAAGCUUGAGGCCUGUAACCCUACCAACCCUCCACCUGAUGUCUGGAGCAGACUUGACUUGUGACACCGCCACAGUCUGAGUGCCAGCAGUGUGAUGACAAAGGCAAGGAAGACGCAGGAGACCACAGCUACCGCCACUACCAGCUGUGGAGAUCAUCUUAUGGAAAGUUGGGCUGUACCAAAUUUAGAGGCGCAGUUUCGCCGCAGCCCAGCAGUUGGUUUGUGGGAUCUGCGGUCUUUGUGAUGAGCGAGCACUGGAUAUCCGGGAGGCGUUUGGUUACAUUUUCUCCAACUCUCCUGGCUGAUGAGCGUGUCCGCAUAGUUGGGCUGCGGGAAGAUCAGGUGACUUUUCCUUGAGUCUGCGGUGAGGGAGACCUCAUGCGAAUAGGUCUGCAGGAAAGCCUGUACCCCGU